rnacentral:rRNA from 1 species
GAUGAACGCUGGCGGCGUGCCUAAUACAUGCAAGUCGAGCGAACAGACGAGGAGCUUGCUCCUCUGACGUUAGCGGCGGACGGGUGAGUAACACGUGGAUAACCUACCUAUAAGACUGGGAUAACUUCGGGAAACCGGAGCUAAUACCGGAUAAUAUAUUGAACCGCAUGGUUCAAUAGUGAAAGACGGUUUUGCUGUCACUUAUAGAUGGAUCCGCGCCGCAUUAGCUAGUUGGUAAGGUAACGGCUUACCAAGGCAACGAUGCGUAGCCGACCUGAGAGGGUGAUCGGCCACCCUGGAACUGAGACACGGUCCCGACUCCUACGGGAGGCAGCAGUAGGGAAUCUUCCGCAAUGGGCGAAAGCUUGACGGAGCAACGCCGCGUGAGUGAUGAAGGUCUUCGGAUCGUAAAACUCUGUUAUUAGGGAAGAACAAAUGUGUAAGUAACUAUGCACGUCUUGACGGUACCUAAUCAGAAAGCCACGGCUAACUACGUG